rnacentral:rRNA from 1 species
UACAGAGGGUGCGAGCGUUGUUCGGAAUUAUUGGGCGUAAAGAGCUCGUAGGCGGCUUGGCAAGUCGGGUGUGAAACCUCCAGGCUCAACCUGGAGACGCCACUCGAUACUGCCAUGGCUAGAGUCCGGUAGGGGACCACGGAAUUCCUGGUGUAGCGGUGAAAUGCGCAGAUAUCAGGAGGAACACCGGUGGCGAAGGCGGUGGUCUGGGCCGGCACUGACGCUGAGGAGCGAAAGCGUGGGUAGCAAACAGG